rnacentral:rRNA from 1 species
UACGUAGGGUGCGAGCGUUGUCCGGAAUUAUUGGGCGUAAAGAGCUUGUAGGUGGUUUGUCGCGUCUGCUGUGAAAAUCCGAGGCUCAACCUCGGACUUGCAGUGGGUACGGGCAGACUAGAGUGUGGUAGGGGAGACUGGAAUUCCUGGUGUAGCGGUGGAAUGCGCAGAUAUCAGGAAGAACACCCGUGGCUAAGGCGGCUCUCUAGUACGGUACUGACGCUGAGACGCGAAAGCGUGGGGAGCGAACAGGG